AGAUUACUCCAUCUUCUCUGUGGGCCAACAGGGGGUUGCACAGCCCCCUCCAGCCCAGCAGAAUAAGACACCCUCCCCCUGCAAAGAUGUCUCUAUAUUUGCAGCUGGGAAAAAUCGUUUGGCUAAAGUCUUGAUACCCCUUGUGCGCAAAAAAAUGAAGUCAGAAUGCAUAGAUCCUGACGUUUUCCUUGCUAAGAAGUGACCUCUGCAAUUUGAAAAAUAUUUUCUGAAAUUCAUUUUCAUUCUUUCCCUUGUUUUCUAUAUACAUUUUUAAAUUCUUCAAGCAUUAUAAAAUAAUAAAAUCAUUUUAUCA